GACCAAGUAAAAAUUAAAGGGUAAAAUGGAAUGCCAUAUAAUGAUGAGGCAGUAACUGCAACAGUUAAGAACUUUUCCUCUUGAUUAUCUGGAAAUCCUAACUGAUAUACCAGCUCUUCCCGAAACAGUGACAGAAAGCUAAAGGGAACUGUGUGACUAUGGCAAUGACCGUCAAUGUUUUUGUAGACACAAUCUAAUGGCCAAUCUGGUUGGGAUGGUGACCAUCCUCUUUCUCCCUGAGCACUCCUUUCCUGGCCAGCCAGAUGAUCCAAGUUAAUGCUGGCCAACUCCAAGAUGCUGUGUAUUUGGUCAGAGAAGACCUCCUUUCCAGUGGUGGGAGACAGUUCUUUAGGAGUUAACACCUGUGUUCAAGCCUCUUAAGAGCAGGUGGCAAUAGCCUAGUUUCCUUGCUGAGAUGUGGCUAGAAAGUACUAUCGCUGUGCUGGAACUCUUAAACCAAGAGAUGUUGCUGCCAACUCACCCUGUAGUACAAGAAUAGUUGAUUCUGGAUCCAACCUGGAUGUCUGUGAUCACAUGCACCAUGCCAUUCACUGGAUCUGGAGGAGUUUUACAUGAUUUACCUGUGGGAAAGAAAAUGUUUUGGAGCCAG
ensembl:lncRNA CR1-AS1 CR1 antisense RNA 1